UUUCCGUAGGUGAACCUGCGGAAGGAUCAUUAUUGAAAUAAAUCUGAUGAGUUGCUGCUGGUUCUCUAGGGAGCAUGUGCACACUUGUCAUCUUUAUAUCUCCACCUGUGCACCUUUUGUAGACCUGGAUAUCUCUCUGAGUGCUAGUCACUCAGGUUUGAGGAUUGACUUUAUGUCUCUCUUUACAUUUCCAGGCCUAUGUUCUUCAUAUACCCCAAUGUAUGUCAUAGAAUGUAAUCAACGGCCUUUGUGCCUAUAAACCUAUACAACUUUCAGCAACGGAUCUCUUGGCUCUCGCAUCGAUGAAGAACGCAGCGAAAUGCGAUAAGUAAUGUGAAUUGCAGAAUUCAGUGAAUCAUCGAAUCUUUGAACGCACCUUGCGCUCCUUGGUAUUCCGAGGAGCAUGCCUGUUUGAGUGUCAUUAAUAUAUCAACCUCUUCAGCUUUUGCUUGUUGAGUGUUGGAUGUGGGGGUCUUUUUGCUGGCCUUCUAAGGUCAGCUCCCCUGAAAUGCAUUAGCGGAACAAUUUGUGGACCGUUCAUUGGUGUGAUAACUAUCUACGCUAUUGACGUGAAGCAGUUCAGCUUCUAACAGUCCAUUGACUUGGACAAAUUUUCAUUAAUGUGACCUCAAAUCAG
rnacentral:rRNA from 1 species